UGGCGGCACGCCUAACACAUGCAAGUCGAACGAAGUAGCAAUACUUAGUGGCAGACGGGUGAGUAACAUGUAGGUAUCUGCCCUUUGGCCUGGAAUAACACGAGGAAACUUGUGCUAAUACCGGAUAAGUCUUUACGGAGAAGGCUUUAUGCACCAUUGGAUGAGCCUGCACUUGAUUAGUUUGUUGGUAGGGUAAUGGCCUACCAAGACUUUGAUCAAUAGCUGAUUUGAGAGGAUGAUCAGCCACAUUGGGACUGAGACACGGCCCAAACUCCUACGGGAGGCAGCAGUGGGGAAUCUUGCACAAUGGAGGAAACUCUGAUGCAGCGAUGCCGCGUGAGUGAAGAAGGCCUUUGGGUUGUAAAGCUCUUUCGUCGGGGAAGAAAAUGACUGUACCCGAAUAAGAAGGUCCGGCUAACUUCGUGCCAGCAGCCGCGGUAAUACGAAGGGACCUAGCGUAGUUCGGAAUUACUGGGCUUAAAGAGUUCGUAGGUGGUUGAAAAAGUUGGUGGUGAAAUCCCAGAGCUUAACUCUGGAACUGCCAUCAAAACUUUUCAGCUAGAGUAUGAUAGAGGAAAGCAGAAUUUCUAGUGUAGAGGUGAAAUUCGUAGAUAUUAGAAAGAAUACCAAUUGCG
rnacentral:rRNA from 1 species